rnacentral:rRNA from 1 species
GUGCCAGCAGCCGCGGUAAUACCGGCAGCUCAAGUGAUGUCCCAUAUUAUUGGGCCUAAAGCGUCCGUAGCUGGCCGACCAAGUCUCCCGGGAAAUCCACCCGCCCAACGGGUGGGCGUCCGGUAGAAACUGGCCGGCUUGGAACCGGAAGGCUCAGAGAGUACGUCCGGGGUAGGAGUGAAAUCCCGUAAUCCUGGACGGACCACCGGUGGCGAAAGCGCCUCGAGAGGACGGACCCGACAGUGAGGGACGAAAGCCAGGGUCUCGAACCGGAUUAGAAACCCGGGUAGUCC